UCCUAGCCUCUAAGAGAAUCCUGUG
rnacentral:piRNA from 1 species